GUCACACACAACCUACCAAGAAGGCAGCUGUGGUGGAAGGUUCCAUAAGGUCAGGUGACAGUGAUUUGUGUUUUGUUGUGGUGUGGUUGCCCGGCCGCCUUGAUCUUCUGCUAUUUGCUGGGCAGGUUAAAUCACGGAGUGGAUUGAGAAUCUGACCUCAUUACAUACCGUAUGCUGAAUCACUGUCCUACAACUGUCACCCGAAGGCACCCGCAGGGGUCGGCUCUCCUGGAAACACAAAACGUGCACCAGCUUGUGCGGCCUGAUUACUGCUGUUUCUCACUAGUUCUCCACGAGCGUGAGCAACAAAAUGAUAUUUUCUCUUUUCUCUUCCCCCUUCCUCUCUUCCCAUUCGUCAGACCGACGCUGGCAAAACCCUGCCGACAGCUUUCAUUUUAAGGUUGUGAUCUAAGCACGAGCCCGCUGUCCUCAGUGUAGUGACCGCCCUCUAACGGCGGUGAUGAGUUGCGUCAAACGGAAUUACCUUUUUGUUUUCCCUCCAGAGCAAACCUAGUCUCCAAUGAAAACCCAGUUGCCUCAGAGAAAUCCUUGAAGAAGAUCUCGGAAGAGUUAAGUACAUCAGCCAUUCUGUGUGAGACUGCAGAAGAACUCCCAUUCGUUGAGGAUCAAGCUGCUUUUGUCUGAACCACUGAGUUAGAAGGAAAACUUGUGGAAUUCUACCCUGCUUCUUGAUGCCCUGCCUGGUGCUCUGGUGCUCACUGCUGCUCCGAUUUUCAGACAGGAGUCUUCUCUGAGACCACCAGCCUUUAAAUAGGUAUAACAAACACGACACCUGUUCUCCAGAGCAAGCAAUAGAAAACCAUUCCACUUCACUUAACCUCAAUAGGAGAUCCACUGGAUUGAUGGCUGGCUCACACACCCACAGGAGCCUGCAAGAACUUCAGGAAAGAGAGUUCCCUGGAGCUCCGCUUGGGAGCAGGAAGAGGAACAACAAACGUCCUAUCAGGCUUUCUCACUGACCUGGAAUUUGUCAAGGAGGCUAGGCUGGCUGGCCAGUGAGCUCACCCACUACCCCUGCUGGGAUUACAAGCACCAUCAGGUUCAGACUUUUUUUUUUUUAAUGCGGAUCUUAGAAUAGAACUCGUGUCCUCAUUUUUGCAAGACAGGGUUUCUCUGUGUAGCCUUGGCUGGAUGGACUCACUCUGUACACCAGGCUGGCCUCAAAUUCACGGAGAUCUGCAUGCCUCUUACUUCCCAAGUGCUGCGAUUAAUGGAGUGAGCCAUUUCAGAGCUUAAAAAAAAAAGGGGGCCAAGUUUGUCAUGUUGCAAAUGUGAAGAAUGAACUUUGAGAAGCUGCGUGACUUCCGAGCAUCGUCACAUGGGAGGCUGUGUUUCCUCUUCUGCUACAAGGACAGACCCUUCAUGUGUGGUAAUGAUGAGAGGAGAAACACUGUUCUCCAGCAAGCAGAGCUAGGACUUCUUGGCAAUUUAAAUCAGGGCUUGUUUACUAGCGUUCAUACUGUUUCUGUUUUCAUAAAGCUGGGUUCUAUUUUGUGAAUCAGUGAGAAAUUUGAGGAAAACAGUAAAAUGAUUAAAUUAUACUUCAGGAAGGUAGUUAAUCUAGUGGGAAUAGCCUUCAUGACUACGGUGGGUUAAAAAUAAUACACGCUUUAACUAUGUUUAUCACUGCAUUUUAAUUAACUCAAGCUGGGCUUAGUGGCAUGGUUUCUUUUUUACUUAUGUCGGAAAUCCAUUAUGCUUUUGCUUCCACUCUUCACAUCGCAAACAUUUCCACUUGUUUUUCUGUGAAGUGACUGAGUUUCCAUAAGUGAAAUUUCUGUUUGAGCUAAUAAUUGUGAUGUUCUGUUCAUUUGGUGUCAUGUAUAUUUAGUGCUCUCUUUGAGAGCAAAUUAAUGCAAAGUCGUCUUGGUGCACUUAGCCCACAGUGACAAAUUGCAUCAUAAGCAAUAGAAAUUUGUCUCUCACAGUUCUGGACAAGGUCAUGGUCAUCAUAUUUGUUGUCUGGUAGAUAACUGCCUGGUCCAUUGAUGACCACCUUCCUGGUGCAUAAAGGGCAAGUUAUCCAUAUGAGUUUUAAGGGCACUGGUAAAGUUUGUCUCUGAGCAGACAAACUUACCUUGUACUGCAUGGAUAGUUUUGAUUUUGCUUCAUAUGAGAACACAAGCAAAGCCUAACUUGGAUUGUUUCUUGUAAAUGCCUAAGUUAAAGACAAAUGAAAGUUAGCCAGGUGUGGUGGCACAUGUCUUUAAUCCCAGCCGUCAGGAGGCAGAGGCAGGUAGAUCUCUGAAUUUGAGGCCAGCCUGAUCUACAGAGCAAGAUCAGGACAGCCAGGGCUACACAGAGAAACCCUGCUCUUCAAAAAAACAAAAACCAAACAAAUAGAAAGAAACUUAAGCUUAACCAAUCAGAAGCUAAAGAUUAACACAUACAGCCAUAGACAUUUUUUUAUUUAUUUAAGAAAAUAGACUAAAUGUGACAGCAUAAGCCUGGGACUGAUCAAGCAGUCCCUUUGUCUUAUAUGCAUUCCCUCUAUAACAGCUGUCUCCACCUCUCAGCUUCUAGUAUGAUCUGCUGGAUUCACAAAUCACUGUUUGCUGAUAUCAACAGUUUAACGAUUAUUUUUGUGUUUCAGUUUUCUUUUCAACAGUCAUCUCUGGCAGGGUGGUGGUGGCCUGGGACCACAGGCAGAUCUCUGUGAGUUCAAGGCCAGCCGGGUCUACAGAGAUCCCUGUCUUGGAAAACAAAACAAAACAGCAACAAACCCCCUCAAAAACAACAACCAACCAACUAACCAAACAAACAAAAAAACCUAGCCCUCAUUCCAUCUCAUCAUCAGGAUUCAUCUGCUGUGAAUCCUGAGUCUCUUGCAUAUAAGGCAAGCACUGAGCUGCACUGUUGGCUCAAGAUUAAGCGCCAAAGUGUGAUUUUGGAGGCACAAAAACAUUCAGUCUGUAGCAAAACUUAGUGGUGACAGCUCUCACAAACGUCGCUUUCGAGCUGCACUGUGCUCACCCAUUCUCUGAUUUACUCACAGCAUAAAGUGACUGUGUCACUCUGUGUGUGUGUGUGUGUGCGUGCGUGCGUGCGUGUGUGUGCGCGCGCGGUAUGUUUUUACUAUUGUGGAAGAAAUGUACUGUUAAUCAGAAUUAACACUUUGAAGUAAUUACAGUUGGAGAGAAUAAGUGUGAAUAGAUGAAAAGUUAAAGAAAAUAUUUUCUAAGAGGAAGCCUACAAGAGUACAUUAUGUUUUGGGAAAUUUUUCAAGUACAAGGCCCUGGGUUGAAAUACUUGACUUCCAACCCAUUGCACUUAAUUUGUGCAAGAGAAGUUUCAUGUAUGUUUUUGGUUAUAAAAAGCUUAAAGAGCUAACGUUGAGUGAAGAAUAGAGGAGGUGAUAGAUAAGAAAACAGAAUGGCUACCUGGGGAAGGGAGGGAAGCAGUCAGAGGGAGCAAGGAGCAAGGAGGGAGGCACUGGGGGAGGAGUCAAAAGACAACAAAAUGUAAUAAUAAUAUGUAAAUGAAGAUACCAUAAUGAUUACUUUGUAUGCCAUCCUAAAUUUUUAGUUACAAAGGAAACUAAAUAAAAGGAUAUCUUUAAAAAGAAAAGAAAAAAAAAAGGAAAGCCAGCUCAAGUUGAAAUUGGAAAUGAAGGAAAUGGGCCAACCAAAGCCACUUUUAUUUACACCUAGUACCAGCCAUUUCUAACUAAGCCUACAUCACAGAGAGGCAUACAUUUUUGUUCUACGCGUUAUUUUCUAGCCAAGCCUAAGCUCCCAUUCUCUCUUUGGGAGAUGUUUUUCUUGAGGUGACUUGCUAACGAUUCACCUUUACAUGGCCUGGAGCUGGGCUGAGGACCAGGUCCACCUGUUCUGCACAUUGGACAUCUGGAAUAUAUUUGAACACUCAGGAGUGGUGUAGCAGCCAUCUCUGUUGACAGUUGUGUCCGUGUCUCCAGCAGCAGUGUCUAGUAUUAAGGUUCCUGCAUGUGCUGUGAUGUCUAUGUUAGGAUAGCUUCCUGGUAGCUUUGCUUAGUAAAUCCUACUGCUUCAUUCUGGGUGCUGAAUAUGGCUGUAACAUUUAUAAAUAUACUUCUCAAGCCUUUUGAGAAUAUAUGUGAAACUCCUAGAAUCUUUAAAAUAAGUUCUAUCUCUUCUUUUAGCUAGCCAAAGUCUGUUUCUUUUAUAUACAUCUAGAAAAUCUUGUCUAGAAAGUAGUGCCAAGAGAGGUUAAAAGAAACAGACUUGCAAAUAAAUGGAAGGGAACUAGAACUUAAUAUGUCUUGUUAGGAACUAAAGGGAAGUGAAAAUAAAGCUGUUACUUUUUUGUACAUGAGGACAGUUUUAUACAUCUUCCCCCCUGCCCUUCCUGUUUCUCAUAUCUCCUCCUCACAUUGGCCCUUCUUGUUCCCCUAUACAGUUUCACUUCUAUUUUCAUGUCUCAUUUAUAUGCACAUAUACAUACCUCGAGACCACAAAUGAAAGAAAACAUUUAUUACUCCAAGACUGGUUUAAUUUAUUUAACAUGAGUAUCUUCAGUUGUGUCCAUUUUCCUGCAAGUAGCAUGACCUUUAUCAUCCUUAUGGCUAGACAAAUUUUAUUGUGUAGAUAUACUCUAUUUUCUUAUCCAUCCCUUUGCUGUUGAAUUCCUAGAUUGAUUCUAGAGCCUAGCAACUGAGAAUAAGGCUACAAUAAACAUUGACAUGCAAAUAUCUCUGA